ACUCAAAUGAAUUGACGGGGACCCGCACAAGUGGUGGAGCGUGUGGUUUAAUUCGAUAUUAAGCGAAGAACCUUACCCAGGUUUGACAUCUUGAGAAUCCCCUAGAAACAGGGGAGUGCCGCAAGGAGCUCAAAGACAGGUGUUGCACGGUUGUCGUCAGCUCGUGCCGUGAGGUGUCCCGUUCAGUCGGUCAACGAGCGCAACCCGCAUUCUGUGUUGUAUUUUUCACAGAAAACUGCCUCAGUUAAUGGGGAGGAAGGUGCGGAUGACGUCAAAUCAGCGUGGCCCUUACACCUGGGGCGACACACGCGCUACAAUGGGGAGUAACAAUGGGUUGCCAAGCCGUGAGGCGGAGCUAAUCCCAACAAACCUCCCCCCAGUUCGGAUUGGAGUCUGAAACUCGACUCCAUGAAGUCGGAAUCACUAGUAAUGGCCGGUCAGCCAUACGGCCGUGAAUACGUUCUCGGGUCUUGUACACACCGCCCGU
rnacentral:rRNA from 1 species